UCAUCCUCUUGUGCUCUUUUCAGGCGUGC
rnacentral:sRNA from 1 species